GGGGUGGAGACAGCAAACAUGUUGAUAAGGCACCAGCAGUGGCUACCUUGUGAGUCUGGGGCCCAAAAGAGACAGUGGUGCUAACUGUGGAGUCUGGUGCCCAGUGGCCCUGGCAGGCGUGUCCUCACAGGCCAGGCUUGCAGUGUGGUUUCGACAUUGUUUCCGGAAGCUGAGCCUCAAGCCCAACUGGGAUGUAUCUUUCAGACGCUGCAGGGCUUGGCGGAAGAUCUGAGCCAUUUGCCUGGACGUUCUCCAUGCUAUUGUGAUCGGCCUCAUCUGUCUGAAACCUUGCUGACCCCGGCUUAUCUGGUGUUGGACCAAAUGACCCUGGAGUCUCUGCAUCUUCUUCAGGGUGACCUGUGCAUGUCUGCUAUCCCUGCCCCUGCCAGCCGUAGGCUGACCUCCACCUGACCCUCAACUGCAUGGGCCCUGAUGAGUCACAGGCUCCCUUCACAGAAGGAAGGUGGAAAAAGCUCACGUGAACGUUGCUUUCCUGUCCUUGGACUUCUGACAUCCCUCGGGCCAGCCCUCAGCAGUGAGCCAACCCGCAAGUCCUGCUCAGGAUCCAGUGGGAAGGCAGCUGUCCUCUUGGAUGAUCCUGGCACCAUAUUGGAAGGAGUCCAUCUGUGGAGGCCAUCAGAGAUUUGAUCACCUCAGCUGUUGUUCAGCUCCUCCGGGGACUGGGGGAAUUUUCGUGCCAUUGGUGUUGACAAUGACAUAAUCCUAGCUCUAAGUCGUCUAAGUGUGUUUCUCCACAGAUACACAUCAAGUACUAGGUGGUGCCAUUCUGUCCCACACAACUGUACAAUAAGUCUUCUCAAAGGCUGAGAAGACUCACCAUACAGAGCUUCAUUCCUUGAAACCCUAAGCUGGAACCCUGAAACCUUAUUUUUUCUUUCAGCUACCAUAAGGCUGAAAUUAACCAUAGCCUUCCCAAGGAUUGGUUUCUUCUCAAAGAGUUUUAACUUAUAAAUAGGACCAAAGAUUUUAAAAAUACAAAUGUUUGUCAUUAAAUGAAGUCAUGCAAGUGAAAGUGCCUAGAAUAGUACUUGGCUCAUAGCUGGUACAUGGGAAAGUCUUGUUUUCCACCUCCAUGUACUCCAGACGCAGCUUAGAAAAUCAGGUAACUUGGCCGGGCUCGGUGGCUCAUGCCUAUAAUCCCAGCACUUUGGGAGGCUGAGGCAGGCGGAUCACGAGGUCAGGAGUUUGAGACCAGCCUGGUCAACAUAGCGAAACCCCAUCUCUAUCAAAAAACAAAAAAUUAGCUGGGCGUGGUGGCGGGCACCUGUAAUCCCAGCUACUUGGGAGGCUGAGGUGGGAGGAUCGCUUGAUCCUGGGAGGCAAAGGUUGGAGUAACCUAUGAUCACACCACUGCACUCCAGCCUAGGUGACAGAGUGAGACCCUGUCUCAAAAAAAAAAGGCAGAGCUGAAUAAGACCGUUACUGUCACAGGGCUUUCUUCAAUAAAUGCUAGUCACU
rnacentral:lncRNA from 1 species